UCAAAUAGGGUUGAUAAUUAUUUACUCUGACAGGAUCAACAUAACUCAUUCCCAAUCAAUUUCAAAUAUGAGUGUAAAUAUAUUCUGUAGUUAAAUAAGUUAUAUUAAUCAAUUAUAUAAUUAUUCAUCAAGACAUAUACGUCAUAGCCAAUUAACAAACAAUAAAACAUUGAAUAAAAACGUGGAGAAGGGAGAUUGGAAUUUCCAAAAUUCUUAUGAGGCUUUAAUUAAGUCCACUGGGUGCUCGGAAUUAUCAAAUCAUUUCUACAUUUCCAUUCUAAGGGGAAAAAAUAAUUCACCUUCAAUGUUCAAAAGCACUAGGAUAAACCUUACUCUUCAUUAAUAAUACCAUUUAUAACUAGCCCUUGAUUGGGAAGAAAAUCAGACCAAUGUUCUAAAUCUCGUUUUAUUUCAAAUAUAUAAUUUGUGAUUUUUUCAAGAUAAAGAAAGAGAUGUAAAAUGAAUGGAAAUGGAAACAAAUUCAAAGCAAGAAUGAUAAUACGAUUAUUAUAUUUUAGAUUUUUUUAAUGAAAAAAAUAACUUGCCUUCAUAA
rnacentral:lncRNA from 1 species